GGACUACAAGGGUUUCUAAUCCUGUUCGCUCCCCACGCUUUCGCGCCUCAGCGUCAGUAUGAUGCCAGGUGGCUGCCUUCGCCAUUGACGUUCCUUCCGAUCUCUACGCAUUUCACCGCUACACCGGAAAUUCCACCACCCUCUCAUCUACUCUAGUCAAACAGUUUGCGAUGCACUUCCCAGGUUAAGCCCGGGGCUUUCACAUCACACACAUUUCACCGCCUACGCGCCCUUUACGCCCAGUAACUCCGAUUAACGCUUGCACCCUCUGUAUUACCGCGGCUGCUGGCAC
rnacentral:rRNA from 2 species